CACCUCCUUUAGAGUUUGGAUCCUGGCUCAGGACGAACGCUGGCGGCGUGCCUAAUACAUGCAAGUCGAGCGGACAGAAGGGAGCUUGCUCCCGGAUGUUAGCGGCGGACGGGUGAGUAACACGUGGGUAACCUGCCUGUAAGACUGGGAUAACUCCGGGAAACCGGAGCUAAUACCGGAUAGUUCCUUGAACCGCAUGGUUCAAGGAUGAAAGACGGUUUCGGCUGUCACUUACAGAUGGACCCGCGGCGCAUUAGCUAGUUGGUGAGGUAACGGCUCACCAAGGCGACGAUGCGUAGCCGACCUGAGAGGGUGAUCGGCCACACUGGGACUGAGACACGGCCCAGACUCCUACGGGAGGCAGCAGUAGGGAAUCUUCCGCAAUGGACGAAAGUCUGACGGAGCAACGCCGCGUGAGUGAUGAAGGUUUUCGGAUCGUAAAGCUCUGUUGUUAGGGAAGAACAAGUGC
rnacentral:rRNA from 1 species